UGGCUGUAUCCCAGUGGAGCCCCACAUUUGUAAAAGAGCUCCUCCCUGCUGCCGAAAAGACAGCUCUUCUCUACCAUCUCUCUUACCUGUGCCUGGCCAACUUCCCCAACCUGGAGAGGAUCAUCAGGAGUCGGGCUGUGGAAACCCAGCUUCUGUUUGGCUCCUCUGAUGCAACUAUGUUGAAAGUACUGUUUCAGAUUUUCACUUGAUUUCAGUAUUUUCAUCUCCGUCACCUAGAAAAAACGUCAUAACUGUAAAUAAGUUCAUAAUGUGAGCCAUGAAAAAUGUAUACUUUUCAAACUAACAUUUUAGGUAAAAUAUAAUAAAUAAGAAUUAACAUUUAUACAUUAGUAGACGCUGCUUACAGUGCAUUCAGGCUAUAUAUAUAUAUAUAUAUAUAUAUAUAUGUGAAUUGAACCCUUGACCUUUUGCAAUGCUCUACCACUGAGCCACAGGAAUUUUUACACAUAAUCUUGGUUCAGUAUGCUUACUGUGAGUUUUUUUUUUAAGUCUAAGAUAUGUGGUAUCACUUAUUAUCUUUCUUCUCACAGUGUAUUUUGACAAGUGAAAACCUGGUUCAGUCACUGUUUCCCAUGUUGGCGAAAGCUGUGGAGAAAAAUAAGGCAGUUUUGGCAGUCAAAUUUCUAGGGAAAGCACGAGUCUGGAUCAAAGAAAUUAUAAGUGAAGUGGACAGGAUAGUGCAAAAGUAUGAUUUACACAACAAAGAUGUAGCAUCAUCCACCAGUGAUGUUAUCAAGGAAAAAUUAGAUACUGAUAAAAAGAUUACAGAACAAGACCAUCAAAUGAAGCAGACUGAAAAUACUCUGAAUGAUCUGAAAUCAAAACUCCAAAAAAACACUGAAGAGCUUGCUGAAGUUGAGAGAAAGAUAAACUGCAAAAGCCAAGAGAUUCAAGAAUUUGCCAGAUCCAUAACCCAAAAAAGUAAAGGCCUUGGCAUCUUUGCUGCAAUUGUUCCAUUUAUCGGUCCAAUUGUGAAAAGCAUUUAUGAUGCUGUACAUGAUCCUGAAGAUGUUGCCCGUAUAAAGGCUCUUGAAGCUGAAUUGAAUAACCUCAUCGCUGAUAAGACUGCUCUGAGACAAAAGCAGUGGCAGCUCGAACUCCAAGUCAUUGAUUGGCAGAUGAAGUUUGCCAAAGCCAAUUUUGACCGGAAUUCCAUACCCGACCCCAUCCAUCUAAAUGAGGUUCAGAGCAGCUUGUCAAAAAUUCAGGCAAUUCUGAUUCAGCUGAAAAACUUCUGGGAGAAUGUUGCUCAAAUGCUGGACUACCUGGAACAAAAGACCUUUGUUGGAGAAGAUCUUAUUGAAGACCUUGCCGAACUAAAAGAUGAAUUUCUAGAAUCAAUCAAAACAGCGGAAGGGGCUUGGAGCAGUUUUGGUGAAGGCUGUAAAAAAGCAUCUUUCAUCUUCAAGCUCCAAACCAAAGAUGCCUACCAGUUUCUGGAGGUCAGUCCUUCCUCGCUCUCCAAGGAGCAGUGGCAAACAGAAUAUGAAAGUGUAAAGGAAAAACUGACAAAAAUAGACCCACCACAAAGUGUGACACCCUCUAAUACACCUGCCAUUUCUAAGUGAUCUACAUGUACAACUACAACAUCCCAUUUGUUUUCUGUUUCUUGAUGCUGGUAACCCGGGAUGAUAAUGUUUAGCUUUUUAAAUGCUGUACUUGUAAACUCUAGUUCUCUAGUCUCUUCUACUCAAUGCCUAAAACAAUCUUUAUAUAUUCUCUGCUCUGUAUGUAUCAUCUUUUUAUGAGUUCUUGCAAAAAGACUUUUGUUGAAUGCAUAAAUAUUUGGUUGAAUGGUUCUCUGAAUAAAGUUUGACAUAAUAACA
ensembl:lncRNA